CCUACGGGUGGCUGCAGUGGGGAAUUUUGGACAAUGGGGGAAACCCUGAUCCAGCCAUCCCGCGUGUGCGAUGAAGGCCUUCGGGUUGUAAAGCACUUUUGUCAGGGAAGAAAAGGUUCUGGCUAAUAUCCGGAACUGAUGACGGUACCUGAAGAAUAAGCACCGGCUAACUACGUGCCAGCAGCCGCGGUAAUACGUAGGGUGCAAGCGUUAAUCGGAAUUACUGGGCGUAAAGCGUGCGCAGGCGGUUCGGAAAGAAGGAUGUGAAAUCCCAGGGCUCAACCUUGGAACUGCAUUCUUAACUACCGGACUAGAGUAUGUCAGAGGGGGGUAGAAUUCCGCGUGUAGCAGUGAAAUGCGUAGAUAUGCGGAGGAAUACCGAUGGCGAAGGCAGCCCCCUGGGAUAAUACUGACGCUCAUGCACGAAAGCGUGGGUAGCAAACAGGAUUAGAUACCCUGGUAGUC
rnacentral:rRNA from 1 species